CCGUCGGACAAGCGAUCAUUUUCUGUCAUAUGAUGUAUAGGACAGUUGUAAACUCCAAGUAAACUUAUUUUCGGCAUUGUUAAUCGAUCGAAACAGGCACGCAAAACGGCCGGUUGGACCAGGAUAAUCACUCAGUAGCGGUACUGUCCGGUGAUCUAACGGCGGAGCAACGGUUGGCCGUUCUGGAUCGAUCCCGAGCCGGACUAGAGAAGGUAUUGAUUGCAACGAACGUUUUGUCUAGGGGUAUCUUAGGUAUCGAUGUUGAACAGGUGACCAUUGUCAUCAACUUCGACCUGCCGAUGGAUUAGCAGGGACGAGCCGAUUGCGAAACGUAUCUACAUCGAAUUAGACGCACCGAACGGAAUCACCAUCAACCUAGUGGGCAGUGAUCGAAGCAUGAUGAUUUGCAGAUCAAUCGAAAAACACUUCCGGAAAAAGAUUCAGUUGCUAGACGCGGAGAACUCGGACGAAAUUGAAAAGAUCGCACGGUAGUGUUUUCGACCAGCUACUGGUGAAAGGCAUAGGAGCUUUUUUGGGUCAUACUUGUUUUGAUUCUGAAUUUAUAAUUUUAUUAAUUUUUUUUUCUUCCUUGACCUGACAUAUGUAACC